CGAAAGGGUGACGAAGCGACGCCGCGUGCGGGAAGAAGGCCUUCGGGUUGUAAACCGCUGUCGGGAGUUAAGAAAUGUAAGGAUGUUAAUAGCAUCUUUGCUUGACUAAGGCUCCGGAGGAAGCCACGGCUAACUCUGUGCCAGCAGCCGCGGUAAUACAGAGGCGGCAAGCGUUGUUCGGAAUUAUUGGGCGUAAAGAGCACGUAGGCGGCUAUGUAAGUCGGUUGUGAAAGCCUUCCGCUCAACGGGAGAACAGCAUCCGAUACUGCAUGGCUUGAGUGCGGGAGGGGAGAGUGGAACUUCUGGUGGAGCGGUGAAAUGCGUAGAUAUCAGAAGGAACGCCGGCGGCGAAAGCGGCUCUCUGGCCCAUAACUGACGCUGAGUGUGCGAAAGCUAGGGGAGCAAACGGGAUUAGAUACCCCGGUAGUCCUAGCCGUAAACGAUGGGCACUAAGUAGAGGGGUUUUAAUC
rnacentral:rRNA from 1 species